rnacentral:sRNA from 1 species
UAGCAGCAGGAAGAUCACCCAUUAGCUG